UUCGUCGUCUGCGCUCGAGCUGCAAGCAGGUCUUCUGAUGGGGAUCCUCGCAUACCGUUAUAUUAUUCAUGUGUACGUACCGAGGUGAAUGCCACGAACCCCAUGAAGUUUGUCGGUCAACCUAGGUAACCCGACGAACUAUUCGGAAUGUCGUGUUGCGAAACAACGACCGCGAUAUCUCCGCAGGAAGAAGAUUGCCUCAAGGUUCGAAAGUGGUGGUGUUUUUUGUUGUCCAGUAUCUUCACAUUCUUAGCAGGACUGCUGGUAGUAUUGUUGUGGAGAGCCUUCGCGUUCUUGUGUUGCCGCAAAGAACCAGAAUUUUCUCCAAAUGACCCGAAACAGAAAGAACAGAAAGCCGCCCGACAGGGCAAGCAGGAGUUCGAAGGGACUUUUAUGACAGAAGCGAAAGACUGGGCUGGGGAGCUGAUUUCUGGUCAGACUACAACGGGGAGAAUUCUGAGAAUGACAAAACUCGAAGAUUCAUAUGGUCAAUAGACUACUGGCGGAAGUUUAUCCGACUGGCGCUCCUCAGAAGCGAAAAUUGGAGUUAGAUAACGACAUCUGAAACGAAAAGAAGUCUAUCUGUCCCAUGAGGGACGAACAAAAGUCUGGAACAACAACUUAACGGAGAAUAAAUUUUGAUUCUAACUGAAA